UAGGUUUGCGGAUAGCCCUGCUUCAGUUAUUGGCAAGAGACACAAAGUCGAAAAUCCUCCAAAAAGCGGAGGAGUAUAUAAUACAAGCUGCAAAAAAUGAGACAAAACUUGCUAUUUUACCGGAACUGUUUACCGUAGAACUGCAUCCCCCAGUUAUGAUGGCAAACAAAGAAAGUAUACCUGAUGGAGAGACGUGUCAGCUGAUGUCACACCUGGCCAGGAAACACAAUAUGCACAUUAUAACAGGUCCUGUACCAGAAGAAAUGAAAGCAAGAGAGAAAAUGAAAAACACAUCCAUCAUAUUUAACCCAAAAGGAGAGAUAGAGGG